rnacentral:rRNA from 1 species
UACGUAGGGUGCAAGCGUUAAUCGGAAUUACUGGGCGUAAAGCGUGCGCAGGCGGCUAUGCAAGACAGAUGUGAAAUCCCCGGGCUCAACCUGGGAACUGCAUUUGUGACUGCAUGGCUAGAGUACGGUAGAGGGGGAUGGAAUUCCGGCGUGUAGCAGUGAAAUGCGUAGAUAUGCGGAGGAACACCGAUGGCGAAGGCAAUCCCCUGGACCUGUACUGACGCUCAUGCACGAAAGCGUGGGGAGCAAACAGG